GAGGGUAUAACUCAGUGGUAGAGCACACACUUAGUGUGUACAAGGUCCUGGAUUCAAUUCCCAGUACCUCCA
rnacentral:tRNA from 1 species